AGAGUUUGAUCAUGGCUCAGGAUGAACGCUAGCGACAGGCCUAACACAUGCAAGUCGAGGGGUAACAGGGGCUUCGGCCCGCUGACGACCGGCGCACGGGUGAGUAACGCGUAUGCAACCUACCUGUAACUGGGGGAUAGCUCCCUGAAAGGGGAAUUAACACCGCAUAAGACCACGCUAUCACAUGGUAAAGUGGUAAAAUAUUUAUAGGUUACAGAUGGGCAUGCGUGACAUUAGUUAGUUGGCGGGGUAACGGCCCACCAAGACUACGAUGUCUAGGGGUUCUGAGAGGAAGGUCCCCCACACUGGUACUGAGACACGGACCAGACUCCUACGGGAGGCAGCAGUGAGGAAUAUUGGUCAAUGGACGCAAGUCUGAACCAGCCAUGUCGCGUGCAGGAAGACUGCCCUAUGGGUUGUAAACUGCUUUUGUACGGGAAGAAAAUCAGCUACGUGUAGUUGUUUGCCGGUACCGUACGAAUAAGGAUCGGCUAACUCCGUGCCAGCAGCCGCGGUAAUACGGAGGAUCCGAGCGUUAUCCGGAUUUAUUGGGUUUAAAGGGUGCGUAGGCGGACUAGUAAGUCAGUGGUGAAAUCCUGCAGCUUAACUGUAGAAUUGCCGUUGAUACUGUUAGUCUUGAGUACAUUUGAGGUAGGCGGAAUGUGGUGUGUAGCGGUGAAAUGCAUAGAUAUACCACAGAACACCGAUUGCGAAGGCAGCUUACUAAACUGUAACUGACGCUGAGGCACGAAAGCGUGGGUAUCAAACAGGAUUAGAUACCCUGGUAGUCCACGCUGUAAACGAUGAUUACUGGUUGUUUGCGAUACAUUGCAAGUGACUGAGCGAAAGCAUUAAGUAAUCCACCUGGGGAGUACGUCGGCAACGAUGAAACUCAAAGGAAUUGACGGGGGCCCGCACAAACGGAGGAACAUGUGGGUUAAUUCUAUGAUACCCCAAGGAACCUUACCUGGGGUUUAAAUAGGGAAAUGACAAGGCUUGGAAAAAAGGCCCUUCUUUUGGAAAAUUUUUUAAGGGGCUGCCAGGGUUGUCCUCACCCCCCUGCCCCGAAGGGGUCCGGGUUAAUUCCCCUAACAAAAGGGCAACCCCUCUUCGUUAGUUUUUCACCCCCUCAAAGAGGGGGGGCGUUUUCUUAAUCUUCUUGUGUAUAUCU
rnacentral:rRNA from 1 species